rnacentral:lncRNA from 1 species
UUUUUCCUAAUAAAUUGAUGAUACGGGCUGCUCUUGUGCAAGAUCAUGUCGCAGGCCUGCAAACGUGAGAAGGGAUGAUUGGGGGUGAGAUGACUUAGCUAUGAUUGCGGAUGGGGAGGUAGAUAUAGGUGUGCAAACUUGUAUAGCAAGAAGUAGGAAGUUUUUAUUGAGAAUUCCAGAAACUCCCUAAGAAUGUUCUUGCUUCAAACUUGCGUGCCCUUCUCCUUAAUUCUCCAGCCUUUAAAUAGGCUUUACAGAUGUGUAGCACUCAACAUGAAAAAGGAAAUACAAUAUUUCAAAAUAAAAGGAAAGAUGCAAUCUUCUAAAGACAGCUUCAAUCAAAUCCUUUGAUUGACAUUUGUCUUCAAUCACUCCCAACUUGCUCUACUUGAUUUGCUAGAUUUAUAGCAUCCUUUAUUUUGCAGUGAUAUUGUUGCCCUAUGAAUUCAUCAAUUGGCCUCAUAAAUUGACCUGAAAUUGGAACCUCCGCCGGAAACGAACACCGCCAAAUUUUUCCGUCUUAACUUUGGCUUUAUGCUUAUCUUCUUCUGCAUCAAAAACCCCUUUAUAUUCAAUCUUCUCGACAAUGCUUCUACACCGGAAAUUACUCUUGGUGAUUGAAUAAUUUGAUUGGAAUGAGCAAUGAAGAAAGUGCCUUGGGCAACUUUGUGAAUACAUGGGUUUUGUGGGUUUGAAGGGAAGGGACAGCUCCAUGAAUAUAACCUCGAAGGGGUUACAUUUUGGGGUUCCAUUGAAAUUGAUAUUAAUACACAAAGAAGGAUGAAUUCGACGGGGUAACUCUUUGAUUAAGUUAAGAAAAAUUGAAAUAGGGUGAAAACUCUGGGUCUUGAAACCGGCGGCGGGAAUAGAAGCGGGUGAAGGGAAGAAGGCUGACCAACCGCCGCAAGAAAUUGUUUUGAGAAGGCGGCGCUGCGCCAAUUUUUUUAUUUUUUAUUUUUUUGCGGUGGGGCGGGGCGGGGGAGCGCUAGAGGGAGGGAAGCGACACUACGCCAUUAGGUGGAGGGAGGGGGUUGAGGAAGCGGCGCGGAUAAGACAAUAUAUGUUGGUUAAAACAAUAUACUAGUAUAUUGAAACAAUAUAUGAUAGUAAAAUCGAGGGGUUAUAUUGGUCAUUUCAUCUGUUAAGCACACUUUGAACCAUAGCUACCAAACACCUCCAUACUGGGAACACGCUUCUUAUCACUUGCUAUCAAACGCUGGGCUUAGGCAACCUAACCCAUGCAACCCCAGCUACGUUUCCCCAAGAUUGUCUAAACUGCAAUUACUAUACCAACAAAUCAAACACAGCCUUAUUGUAUAGGCACCAUUAGUUUUACAGUUAUCAUGGUUCAUAGAAUUAAAUUGCUAUAUAUCAUCCCAUAUUCAGCAUGCCCUUUCUAUGUUCAUCAACAACCCAGUUAACUGACCAAACACAACUUGAAACAACUUAAGUCUUUUAUCUUGUCACAAAUUGUGAUGUUCGGAGUGAAUAAGGAUACCCACACAUACAUGCACACUAAAAAAUAAAUAUGUUAUUUGGUUCAAAGCACAUUCUUAGAAGAAAAUACAGAACCUGCUUCUAUCUUAUAUAUAUACUGCAUAGUUUUUUUUUUUUUUUUGAGGGAAAUAUAUAUACUGCAUAGUUAUAAUAAGGCUACUUCACAUAUUUGCUGCAUAUUGUAACCUUUCCAAGAGUUUGAUAUAGUUUACAAAAUUCCCUAUAAGGUGGCUAUCAGUUUUCAUUAUUGAUAAGAUACAUAUUUGAGUAUUUUUAUGCUUAUGACAAAGAUUUCUCAAAUCCUAUCAUUUCAAUGGGAUAUGGGUAAAGCAAAAUUAGCUUAAAUAAGAUAUCAUCAAGGACUGUGGUAUAUCCCAAAGUUUUAUUCCAUCUUAAUAAACAGUGGAUUAACCUAUACUGUUUCUAUCUAUCUAGGCUAAUCCUAUGUAAACGCAUCCUAAUAAAUUAAUUCAAUGGGUUGAGAAAUUGGUCAAAAGAUGUAGUGGAGAACACCUGACAAUGUGGAAACUCGUCGAAACAACUGAAUGAUAUGGAAUUUAAACUGAACUUCUAGAAGAACCUUCCCACUUUCCCUUUCUUUGAUGGGGCAAAAUCAUAAAAUAAAGACAAUUUACGGAAAGAAAAGAACAAUGACUUUCUAUAGGAUUACUUUACUUCGUUUUGUUCGUUUGUUAAUUGUGUUAACAUCACUCUAUCAAUUGGUUCGACCUGCGGGACCACGAUUAGCAAAGAACUGUAAUUGAAAUAAACUCCUUAAAAAUGAGGUUCACAGAUAGAAGUCUGCCACAGCGAAGCUGUUGUUUUUCAUAGCUAGCGCACACAGCAGAUAACACCAAACCAGAAAAACAUGCAAAGGUAAAGAAGCUCCGGCUCACCAGUAUUUUGGAAUUUAUAGUGACUGUUUUCUUUAAGUGUUACUAUAUCUUUUGGCAUACAUGCGUUUCACCAUGCAGAAAAUUCUUUAAAAAUAUCCUUUUAAAGCAAAAAGGGCAUUAACUUAAUUGAGCGCAUUAGAACUUGGCCCAAAAUUUUUGAAAUCUUUUGGAGAUUAAAGGAGCCGAUCGCAGUGGAGGGCAGGAGGUGGUGUUGGUCAGGUGCAGUACAAUAUAGUCAAGGUUACCCUUGAAAAGUCCUUCACUCUGAACUUUAUUCAAAAAAACUCAGUUUUUGGCAUGCUUGGCAUUUAAGAACAUUGUUAUUUGCUUAACAAAUUGAACAAUUGAGUUGCUCUCGGGCACUCAACUUCCUUUCUACGAACUUUCCAGAUCUGACCGGAGUUCUCAUACUCCAUGUCAAACCGAGUUAUUUUGAACAAUUGAUCUGAGUAUCGGUUAAUUAAUUCCGCUAAUUAACCAAAUGUUUAGCAAAGUUAGAGAGGUUAAUUAUUUUCGCUAAUUAACCUAGUUCAGUCAAAGCACCCACAGUCCACAUGUCAGCCUCCAGGCAAGUUGGGUCGUCACCGAAAAAUAGCAAUGUUUAGUUAAAAACUCUAUAAUAAUUUGCAAUAUUUAAUAAAUACAUAAUUAUUUUACAAUUGUGAAAGGAAUAUUUUUACUUUAUAUUUAUUUUAGGAACUUUCAAUUUUUCUCAAUAAAAUUAAUUACUAAAAAUAUUAAUAAAUAGUUAUUUAAUAUACUUUUUAUAAAUGUUAAAAAUAGUAUUAAAAACAUAAUUAUAUAAAAAUAUGAUAUAUUAAUUGUUUCGCUCGAAAGGAAUGGCCAUGUGACUUGGAAGGAAUGACUAUUUCCUCAUCAUUAGGAAUAGUGAUUCCCAAUUUCAACACUCAGCCAUAGGAAUUUUUUUUUAUUUUUUUUCGAGAAAACACUUAAUCACAUUCAUAGGAAUUGAAUGAACAUAAGACCAUUUCAUUCUUAUCUUAUUUCACCGUACCAAUAACCUCAUUAUGAACAGGGGACGUUUACUUUUGAAGAUUAGCAUUAAUAGAUAAAAAUAGUAAGGUUGAUCUCUUAUUUACUUAAAUGGAUUGAAAUUUUGGAAUAUCCCAAGGCCUUUGAUUAUUUCUAUCAUUUAAGUUAAUUUUGCUUGAUUCAUAUCUCAUUGAAAGGGUGGAAUUGGAGAAAUCCUACUCCUAAGGAUAAAAAAUACUCAAUCAUGCAUCAUAUAAUCAUGCAAAGUAAAAGCUCUCUUACUAUUCUAGCCAGUGCCUUAUAACUAAGCAAACUAAAAUAUUAUAUUUUAAUAAUUUAUAACUAGAACAUAUAAAACAAAAUCAUUUUUAGAAAGUCAUCUUCCAGGCACCUUCUUGCACCACUAUCACAUGAAUAACAUGACAUCAAAAUUAAAAUGGUAAAGAGCUCACAUAUCAAAAUUGUUCAAUUAACUGUAAACCUUCUUAGCUAGUUUAAUAUUUUUCGAGGAGCUGCAUUCAGUUUUAUAUAAGUAUUUUCUGGGGAAAUAGGUAGGAAAAGUUACCUUUCUAUUCUUGAUGAAACUAAUUCAUAGUACUUGUGGUGCUCUUUUGAGGUUUUAUUUAUGACAGCUUGCUUGGAGGAUACAAGUCCUUUUCCAGUUCCAUCAUUAGAUGUUUCAAGGGCACAAUCAACAGAAAGGGCUUCAACAUCUGACUCCUGAAAAGAC